CUUGCUGAUGGAUGGCGGCUGGUCUGGUACGGUACCUACAUAUAUGUGUGUAUAUGAAUGUUUCUGAACUCAUAAAUAUAAGUACACACAACUCCAGUGUGAUGAGUUGAAGUUGGAGAAAUACUCGACCCAAACACCACCACCACCAGCUUUAUAACACCCGGCCUCGCGAUAAACUCUGGUGCGAGAACAAGGAAUCCAGCAGUAAAAGGGGCAAAGAACAACGGCAAAACCAACAACAACGGACGGAGACGAUAUCAGCACAAAGCAAAACGGACGAAACAGCACCACGACGGUUCUUUUACGGUGUCCUCCUGAACUAGUCCUAGUUUACUUUUGUCCACCAUCGACGUCACAUCUCUCCAAUAGUUCUGCGCGUGUGUUUCGAUUUCGGUUGAAUUUCAAACAGCUCAUUCGGAUUUUUUUCAUCAAGAAAAACCCCCGGCGACCACGUUUAGUUACACGGUUUCGGUCCAGAAUACAUACGUCCGUACGACAUUUUGUGUUCCCAAUCUUUCGGAAUUAAUCCAGGUCAAACACGAAAGGAUCUGUUGUAGAAAGCAUACGAAGUCGUGUGAUUUUCGACUAAAUAACCGUUUCUAAUUUUGGUCCUGAAGCCUCCAGGUGGUGGAAGCAGCGAUAUCUUUGGAGCCGACCAGCAAACUCCACGCAGCAUGAACAAGAACCGGAUGCAGUCCAACAUCUUCGCCGAGGGCCAGAAGAAUGGAGUUUUCCGACAAGGCGCCCACAGAUACUACUAUUUCGGUACUUGUUUUUGACUAAUUGUCCCAUUCGUUGAAAUGUUCAAUCUCAAUUACCUUUUACCCCGUUCGUUCAUUACAUGUU